AGUCCCGUGGGGUAGUGGCCAAUCCUGCGAGCUUCUGGGGCUCGCGACGGAAGUUCGAAUCUUCCCGGGACUA
rnacentral:tRNA from 1 species